UAGGUCAGAAGGGCGUGGAGCAUGAUGCUCAAGGAUGCAUUAUCGACCACCUGACUGCACCCCAAGCUGAGAACUAUGGACGAGACCAGUACAUGGUGCAGAAGAAGGAGGACAAACAUGGGCCAAAGGCCUCCACUAACAGUUUCCUAAUUAUGUAACUUGGGACAAUUCUUGUUAUUUCUGCAUCUCAGCUUCAUCACCAAAACACUGGAGGUAAAAAUCUCUGCCUUGCAAGGGCACUGUGAAGUCAAAACAGAUAAGGAGCAGAGAACCAUGCUGUGGGCAAUGUACAGAAGAGCAGAGAAAUAUCUGUCACAACAUAUAAGGAUCACAGUGGCUUGCAACUUAGUUGAGAGAUAAGGCAAGUAUAGGAAAGACUGAAGAAUUUGAGAGCCAUUUGUCACCAUCUCAAGGACAUAGAAGGAAGGUCUGUGCUAAGCCAAAACCAUUCUGAGUUGAAAUCUACAGAGUAUUUAGAGAGCCUAGGGUCAAGGGUGGUGCAGGACAUCUUUUAUCCUUGCCCCAAGCUGCCCCCAGGCAACAUUAGACUCCCCCAAAGGCUUCUCGUAUGUCCUCUUUUCCUGGGUUCUUUUAGCAGAGUAGGUUGAGCUGGAAGAUGAAGAAAGAAGCCGUGGCACUGAAGACAGCAAAUGGCCAUCAGCUGAGCCAUAGAAGCAGUGGAGAGAAAAGUAGAUCUAGCUUUGACAGCUGCAGAAGACGGACAUCUGUGGGAACUGCCGGUGGCCUCAAUAACGGCAGAGAUAGAGCUGUACACCCAGCAGCGGAACAGAGCAAU
rnacentral:lncRNA from 1 species